rfam:Phlebotomus papatasi Contig91707.1, whole genome shotgun sequence.
GCCUACAGCUCAGUUGGUACAGCACUCGUCUAGUUAACAAGAGGUAUCUAGUUCGAUUCUGGGUGUAGGCA